AGGGCUUAGGAUAGUACUAAAACCAAGAGCCUUCAAAGCUCUAAGCGGGAGUGAAAAUCUCCCAGCCCUUGCUAAGACUU
rnacentral:tRNA from 1 species